AGUGAACGCUGGCGGUAGGCCUAACACAUGCAAGUCGAACGGCAGCACAGGAGAGCUUGCUCUCUGGGUGGCGAGUGGCGGACGGGUGAGGAAUACAUCGGAAUCUACUCUGUCGUGGGGGAUAACAUAGGGAAACUUACGCUAAUACCGCAUACGACCUACGGGUGAAAGCAGGGGACCUUCGGGCCUUGCGCGAUUGAAUGAGCCGAUGUCGGAUUAGCUAGUUGGCGGGGUAAAGGCCCACCAAGGCGACGAUCCGUAGCUGGUCUGAGAGGAUGAUCAGCCACACUGGAACUGAGACACGGUCCAGACUCCUACGGGAGGCAGCAGUGGGGAAUAUUGGACAAUGGGCGCAAGCCUGAUCCAGCCAUACCGCGUGGGUGAAGAAGGCCUUCGGGUUGUAAAGCCCUUUUGUUGGGAAAGAAAUCCAGCUGGCUAAUACCCGGUUGGGAUGACGGUACCCAAAGGAUAAGCACCGGCUAACUUCGUGCCAGCAGCCGCCGUAA
rnacentral:rRNA from 1 species